rnacentral:tRNA from 1 species
GCGGGUGUAGUUUAGUGGUAAAACCUCAGCCUUCCAAGCUGAUGAUGUGGGUUCGAUUCCCAUCAUCCGCUCCA